rfam:Drosophila mojavensis strain TSC#15081-1352.22 Ctg01_10998, whole genome shotgun sequence.
CAAUCGGUCCUUUUCAGGACCACCAAAAUAUUAAAAGAGCUUAAA